GGGCCGAUGUGGAUUCUUUCUGU
rnacentral:piRNA from 1 species